AUAUACAUAAUCUGACUCUAAGUGGAGGUGGACUAAACAAAUCUAACUUUUAUUUCAACGAAGUAAAGUUAGAAGAGGGUGUAUGAUCUGAAUCUAGUCCGACCCGUUGGGUUUUAGUAACAAAAAUUUCCUCUUUUUGAGUGGGUUGUCUUGUAACAAGUGAAAACUCUUUGAAACAAAUAGAAGUAUACCCGAACAGGUAGGUGAGAGUUGAAACUUGGUAAUUGAUCCGAUCCAUCAUUCUGCAUUCACAGAACAACGAGAGAAGAUAACAAAAAUGGUGCUGAUUCUGAAAGGAGAGCCCCUCGUCCAUAAAUUAGCUAUGGUGGCCAAGUGGGUGGUAUACCCAGGUGUCUUCGUCGCCGCUUAUGUCUAUGCGCCUCCCAAUUACAACCACCCCAACAAAUCUAUAGCUGCUGCUACUUCUUCUGAUUGAUUUUUUGGUUAUCUCUGGUGCUUGAUGAUAGUUUGAUCUUGCAGUUUUAGGUGUGCAAAAAUUCUCAUGACUUUAUCAUGUUUUACUCUGUUAAUGUUGGCAAAACGUCAAACAUCAAAAUCACUUUUUGUGAGAUGAACGCCCUUUCUUGUAAUGAUUUUCUGUUUAAGAAUUGUGUGUUCUAAUGAACAACUCUGAUAAUUGAAUGAUAAAUGUCUCCGUCUACCUUGUUCUGGGUUGUUUGACCUGUUUUAGGAUUUUGCUUUAAAAGAUUUCAGCUUUUUUAUUGA